rnacentral:rRNA from 1 species
AUGCGUUUUGUGCGGCGCAUCCAGGAGUCUGAGGUGAAGGAGGCUUUAAAAAGGAUGAAAGGAGGCAAGGCGAUGGGCCCUGAUUGUAUCCCCAUUGAGGUGUGGAAAGGUCUCGGGGACAUAGCGAUAGUAUGGCUAACCAAGCUUUUCAACCUCAUUUUUCGGGCAAACAAGAUGCCAGAAGAAUGGAGACGGAGUAUAUUAGUACCAAUCUUCAAGAACAAGGGGGAUGUUCAGAGUUGUACUAAUUACCGUGGAAUUAAGCUAAUGAGCCAUACAAUGAAGCUAUGGGAGAGAGUCAUUGAGCACCGCUUAAGAAGAAUGACAAGCGUGACCAAAAAUCAGUUUGGUUUCAUGCCUGGGAGGUCGACCAUGGAAGCCAUUUUCUUGGUACGACAACUUAUGGAGAGAUAUAGGGAGCAUAAGAAGGACUUGCAUAUGGUGUUCAUUGACUUGGAGAAGGCCUAUGAUAAGAUACCGCGGAAUGUCAUGUGGUGGGCCUUGGAGAAACACAAAGUCCCAGCAAAGUACAUUACCCUCAUCAAGGACAUGUACAAUAAUGUUGUGACAAGUGUUCUAACAAGUGAUGUCGACACCGAUGACUUCCCGAUUAAGAUACGACUGCAUCAGGGGUCAACUUUGAGCCCUUAUCUUUUUGCAUUGGUGAUGGAUGAGGUCACAAGGGGUAUACAAGGAGAUAUCCCAUGGUGUAUGCUCUUUGCGGAUGAUAUGGUGCUAGUUGACGAUAGUCGGACGGGGGUAAAUAGGAAGUUAGAGUUAUGGAGACAAACCUUGGAAUCGAAAGGGUUUAGGCUUAGUAGAACUAAAACCGAGUACAUGAUGUGCGGUUUCAGUACUACUAGCUGUGAGGAGGAGGAGGUUAGCCUUGAUGGCCAGGUGGUACCUCGGAAGGACACCUUUCAGUAUUUGGGGUCAAUGUUGCAGGAGGAUGGGGGUAUUGAUGAAGAUGUGAACCAUCGAAUCAAAGCCGGAUGGAUGAAGUGGCGCCAAGCUUCUGGCAUUCUCUGUGACAAGAGAGUGCCACAAAAGCUAAAAGGCAAGUUCUACAGCACGGCGGUUUGA